rnacentral:rRNA from 1 species
CCUACGGGGUGCAGCAGUGGGGAAUAUUGGACAAUGGGCGAAAGCCUGAUCCAGCCAUGCCGCGUGUGUGAAGAAGGCCUUCGGGUUGUAAAGCACUUUCAGUGGGGAAGAAAGCCUUGGGGCUAAUACCCUCGAGGAAGGACAUCACCCACAGAAGAAGCACCGGCUAACUCCGUGCCAGCAGCCGCGGUAAUACGGAGGGUGCGAGCGUUAAUCGGAAUUACUGGGCGGAAAGCGCGCGUAGGCGGUCUGAUAAGCCGGUUGGGAAAGCCCCGGGCUCAACCUGGGAACGGCAUCCGGAACUGUCAGGCUAGAGUGCAGGAGAGGAAGGUAGAAUUCCCGGUGUAGCGGUGAAAUGCGUAGAGAUCGGGAGGAAUACCAGUGGCGAAGGCGGCCUUCUGGACUGACACUGACGCUGAGGUGCGAAAGCGUGGGUAGCAAACAGGAUUAGAUACCCGUGUAGUC